rnacentral:rRNA from 2 species
UACGGAGGGUGCAAGCGUUGUCCGGAUUUAUUGGGUUUAAAGGGUGCGUAGGCGGCCCGUUAAGUCAGUGGUGAAAGCCCAUAGCUCAACUAUGGAACUGCCAUUGAUACUGACGGGCUUGAGUACAGACGAGGUAGGCGGAAUUGAAGAUGUAGCGGUGAAAUGCAUAGAUAUCUUCAAGAACACCGAUUGCGUAGGCAGCUUACUAGGCUGUAACUGACGCUGAGGCACGAAAGCGUGGGGAGCGAACAGG